UAAGAGCACUGACUGUGACAACCACCGCUACGCUCACUCUCAAGCUCACUCAUUCACUCUCAAGCUGGGGGUGGCUGGCUGUCUUCUCCACGGCCGGCGCUGCCCUGCUUCGCUCUGCUUGCCCCUGCUGCCCUUCAUCUCCGCCUCGCCGUCCGGCGACGCAGCUCACUUGGCCUCCUCCCCGGCAACGCACGCACCUCGCCUUCUCACCACGGUCUGAACCACCUGCACCGCACAGCUGCAGGCAGGUAACCAUCCCUGGCCUGCUGUGCCGUUCUGCAACUCAACCCCCCAUUCGCAGCAGCUAGGUAUUAGGCAGAGGGAUCCGUCACCGGCCGGAAAGCAGGCAGGCGGCAUCCCAUCACCGGCGCGCUUGCGCUAAAGUGUUGCACAUCGUUCAUCCCUGCGUCCGGCCAGGGGAUGGCUGAGGCCGCCCUCGGCGCGGCACAAUGGGGGGUGGAGAAGGCGCUAGG